UACAGAGGGUGCUAGCGUUGUUCGGAAUUACUGGGCGUAAAGCGCGCGUAGGCGGCUUACCAAGUCAGAUGUGAAAUUUCGGGGCUUAACUCCGAACGUGCAUUUGAAACUGGUAGGCUAGAGUGCAUUAGAGGAUGGUGGAAUACACAGUGUAGAGGUGAAAUUCGUAGAUAUUGUGUGGAACACCGGUGGCGAAGGCGGCCAUCUGGGAUGUAACUGACGCUGAGGUGCGAAAGCGUGGGGAUCAAAC
rnacentral:rRNA from 1 species